GCGGAAGUUUUCGGAUGGAAGCAUAAACUUUAGCGGCGGACGGGUGAGUAACGCGUGGGUAACCUGCCUCAUACAGGGGGAUAACAGUUAGAAAUGACUGCUAAAACCGCAUAAGCGCACAUUGUCGAGUGACAGAGUGUGAAAAACUCCGGUGGUAUGAGAUGGACCCGCGUCUGAUUAGCUAGUUGGUGAGGUAACGGCCCACCAAGGCGACGAUCAGUAGCCGGCCUGAGAGGGCGACCGGCCACAUUGGGACUGAGACACGGCCCAAACUCCUACGGGAGGCAGCAGUGGGGAAUAUUGCACAAUGGGGGAAACCCUGAUGCAGCGACGCCGCGUGAGUGAAGAAGUAUUUCGGUAUGUAAAGCUCUAUCAGCAGGGAAGAAGAAAGACGGUACCUGACUAAGAAGGCCCGGCUAACUACGUGCCAGCAGCCGCGGUAAUACGUAGGGGGCAAGCGUUAUCCGGAUUUACUGGGUGUAAAGGGAGCGUAGACGGCUGUGCAAGUCUGAAGUGAAAGCCCAGGGCUCAACCCUGGGACUGCUUUGGAAACUGUGGAGCUAGAGUGCUGGAGAGGUAAGUGGAAUUCCUAGUGUAGCGGUGAAAUGCGUAGAUAUUAGGAGGAACACCAGUGGCGAAGGCGGCUUACUGGACAGUAACUGACGUUGAGGCUCGAAAGCGUGGGGAGCAAACAGGAUUAGAUACCCUGGUAGUCCACGCGGUAAACGAUGAAUACUAGGUGUUGGAGAGCAAAGCUUUUC
rnacentral:rRNA from 1 species